rnacentral:tRNA from 1 species
GGGGCAGUAGCUCAGCUGGGAGAGCGCCACGUUCGCAACGUGGAGGUCGUCGGUUCGAUCCCGAUCUGCUCCACCA